rnacentral:rRNA from 1 species
UACGAAGGGGGCGAGCGUUGUUCGGAAUUACUGGGCGUAAAGGGCGCGCAGGCGGCUCUGAAAGUCAGAUGUGAAAGCCCCGGGCUUAACCUGGGAACUGCAUUUGAUACUCUGGAGCUUGAGUACGGGAGAGGAUAGUGGAAUUCCCAGUGUAGAGGUGAAAUGCGCAGAUAUCGGGAAGAACACCCGUGGCGAAGGCGGCUCUCUGGGACGGUACUGACGCGUGAGACGGCGAAAAGCGUGGGGAGCGAACAGG